rnacentral:ncRNA from 1 species
AUCUUAUCGAGAGCGGCGGAGGGAUAGGCCCGAUGAAGCCCGGCAACCGAUUUAUACUAAGUGUUCUUUUGGACACUGAAUGUGAAUGUCAUGGUGCUAAUUCCUACAAUGCCGCAUGUAUGCAGCGGCCUUUGGCAGAUGAGAC